GAUGAACGCUGGCGGCGUGCCUAAUACAUGCAAGUCGAGCGAACAGACGAGGAGCUUGCUCCUCUGACGUUAGCGGCGGACGGGUGAGUAACACGUGGAUAACCUACCUAUAAGACUGGGAUAACUUCGGGAAACCGGAGCUAAUACCGGAUAAUAUAUUGAACCGCAUGGUUCAAUAGUGAAAGACGGUUUUGCUGUCACUUAUAGAUGGAUCCGCGCCGCAUUAGCUAGUUGGUAAGGUAACGGCUUACCAAGGCGACGAUGCGUAGCCGACCUGAGAGGGGAAUCGCCCACAUGGGAACUAGGACACGGUCAAAACCCCAAGGGGGGGACGCAGGAGGAAAUCUUCCGAAUGGGGGGAAAGCCUGACGGGAAAACGCCGGGGGGGGAAUAAGGGUCUUGGGAUUGAAAAACUUUUUUUUUGGGAAAAAAAAAAUGUGUAAGUAACUAUGCCCUUUUUGACGGAACCAAAACAGAAAGCCACGGCUAACUACGG
rnacentral:rRNA from 1 species